UGCCAGACUCCUACGGGAGGCAGCAGUGAGGAAUAUUGGUCAAUGGGCGCGAGCCUGAACCAGCCAAGUCGCGUGAGGGAUGACGGCCCUACGGGUUGUAAACCUCUUUUGCCGGGGAGCAACGGGCGCCACGUGUGGCGCCACUGAGAGUACCCGGAGAAAAAGCAUCGGCUAACUCCGUGCCAGCAGCCGCGGUAAUACGGAGGAUGCGAGCGUUAUCCGGAUUUAUUGGGUUUAAAGGGUGCGUAGGCGGAAUGCCAAGUCAGCGGUAAAAUCGCGGGGCUCAACCCCGCCCAGCCGUCGGAACUGCCGGGCUAGAGUGGGCGAGAAGUGCGCGGAAUGCGUGGUGUAGCGGUGAAAUGCAUAGAUAUCACGCAGAACUCCGAUUGCGAAGGCAGCGCACCGGCGCCCUACUGACGCUCAGGCACGAAAGCGUGGGUAUCGAACAGGAUUAGAUACCCUGGUA
rnacentral:rRNA from 1 species